CGAAGUAAAUCAUUUGCAAUGUCGCACAGAACCAAUUUGACGCUUUGGUCUUCUGAUGGAAGAGACAAUUCAAUAUCCAAUAGGAGAUCAAAGAUGAGGUGCACUUGUUUUACAGUCUGACUCAAAGGAUCUUCCAGGUUGCUCCAUAUGAUUUUUAAUACACGGUUGACAACAUCCCUAGAGAAAGGCUUAUAGUCACCAGAGAAGUCAGUGAAAUCAGCCAAAACAAAUGUCUUAAUCUGCUGCAGACAUAUUUGAGUAACUGUCAGAGCAUGGAAAUUGAAGUGCCU
rnacentral:lncRNA from 1 species